AUUGCACGCUGGCGGCAGGCUUAACACAUGCAAGUCGAACGAGUGGCGGACGGGUGAUUAAUGCUUGGGAAUCUAGCUUAUGGAGGGGGAUAACUCCGGGAAACUGUAGCUAAUACCGCGUACCCUAGGAUGAGCCCAAGUGGGAUUAGGUAGUUGGUGAGGUAAAGGCUCACCAAGCCGACGAUCUCUAGCUGGUCUGAGAGGAUGACCAGCCACACGGGGACUGAGACACGGCCCAGACUCCUACGGGAGGCAGCAGGGGGGAAUAGGGCGCAAGGGGGGAAACCUGACGCAGCCAUGCAGCGUGAAUGAAGAAGGCCUUCGGGGUGUAAAGUUCUUUCGGUAGCGAGGCGGUAACUACAGAAGAAGCACCGGCGAACUCCGUGCCAGCAGCCGCGGUAAUAC
rnacentral:rRNA from 1 species